rnacentral:rRNA from 1 species
UACGGAGGGGGCGAGCGUUAUUCGGAAUUACUGGGCGUAAAGGGCUCGUAGGCGGCCAACUAAGUCAUACGUGAAAUCCCUCGGCUUAACCGGGGAACUGCGUCUGAUACUGGAUGGCUUGAGUUCGGGAGAGGGAUGCGGAAUUCCAGGUGUAGCGGUGAAAUGCGUAGAUAUCUGGAGGAACACCGGUGGCGAAGGCGGCAUCCUGGACCGAUACUGACGCUGAGGAGCGAAAGCCAGGGGAGCAAACGGG